GAAAUGCGAUAAGUAAUGUGAAUUGCAGAAUUCAGUGAAUCAUCGAAUCUUUGAACGCACCUUGCGCUCCUUGGUAUUCCGAGGAGCAUGCCUGUUUGAGUGUCAUGGAAUUCUCAACUCUAUUUGCUUUUGUGAAUAGAGCUUGGAUUUGGAGGUUUAUUGCUGGUACUUGUGAUCGGCUCCUCUCGAAUGCAUUAGCUCGAACCUUUGCGGAUCUGCUAUCGGUGUGAUAAUUGUCUACGCCGUUGCAGUGAAGCAUAUCAAUGGGCUCGGCUUCCAAUCGUCCUUUACUGGACAAUGACUUUGACCUUUGACCUCAAAUCAGGUAGGAUUACCCGCUGAACUUAAGC
rnacentral:misc_RNA from 1 species